rnacentral:rRNA from 1 species
GACGAACGCUGGCGGCGUGCUUAACACAUGCAAGUCGAACGGAAAGGCCCUGAUUGUGUGGGGUGCUCGAGUGGCGAACAGGUGAGUAACACGUAAGUAUCCUGACCUCGACGUUGGGAUGACUUCAGGAAACGGGGGCUAAUACCGGAUAGGAGCUCCUGCUGCAUGGGGGGGGAUGGAAAGUUUCGGCGGUUGGGGAUGGACUCGCGGCAUAUCAGCUUGUUGGGGGGGUAGGGGCUUACCAAGGCGUUGAGGGGUAGCCGGCCCGAGAGGGGGACCGGCCACAUUGGGACUGAGAUACGGCCCAGACUACAACGGGAGGCAGCGGUGGGGAAGAUUGCACUAUGGGCUGAAGCCUGAUGCAGCAACGCCGCGUGCGGGAUGACGGCCUGCGGGUUGUAAACCGCUUUCGUCUGUGACGAAGCGUGAGUGACGGUAAUGGGCAAAGAAGCACCGGCUAACUACGUG